GGAAUAUAAAAACUUGUCUCUUAACUUUUAACUAAAAAAGUUAAGAACCGGUUCUUAAAUAAGAGUUUUAAGAGCCGGUUCUUAAUUUUUUUAGUUAAAAGUUAAGAGACAGGUUCUUAUAUUCC
rnacentral:pre_miRNA from 1 species